rnacentral:rRNA from 1 species
GGACUACCCGGGUAUCUAAUCCUGUUCGCUCCCCACGCUUUCGUGCCUCAGCGUCAGUUAUGGUCCAGAAAGCCGCCUUCGCUACUGGUGUUCCUCCGAAUCUCUACGCAUUUCACCGCUACACUCGGAAUUCCACUUUCCUCUCCCACACUCUAGUUCAUCAGUUUCAGAAGCAGCUUAGAGGUUGAGCCCCUAGAUUUCACUUCUGACUUAACAAACCGCCUACGCACCCUUUACACCCAGUAAAUCCGGAUAACGCUCGCUCCCUACGUAUUACCGCGGCGGCUGGCAC